rnacentral:lncRNA from 1 species
CAAAAAUUAGUGAGUUAGUAAAAAAAAAGUCAGAGUAAGUGGCAUGAUGAUUGGUUUCUAAGUAACAAGAAUUUCACAAUUUGAAGCAACAGACAACUCAUAUUCAAGCAAGGAAAUCAAGUUGUUGAUGAUUCAUAUAGAUAUAGAAAUAGCGAAAAGUGAAAUCUAAUCAUCAAUAAUGUGAUUUAUUAACCGGGAAAACAGAGGAAUAAGAAUGCUGGCCCGUGCAUUCAUGAAUUGGUUUGGUAAAAGCUGAGGAGUGCCAAAUUCAAAUUGCCAAAACCAAAACAUGAAUGAAUAUC